GACGAACGCUGGCGGCGCGCUUAACACAUGCAAGUCGAGCGAUGAAACUUUAACAGAACCCUUCGGGGCGAAGAUAAAGUGGAUUAGCGGCGGACGGGUGAGUAACACGUGAGUAACCUGCCUUAGACAUUGGGAUAGCCUCGGGAAACCGGGAUUAAUACCAAAUAAAAUCAUAAUGACACAUGUCAUAACGAUCAAAACUCCGGUGGUCUAAGAUGGACUCGCGUCCCAUUAGCUAGUUGGUAGAGUAAAAGCCUACCAAGGCGACGAUGGGUAGCCGGCCUGAGAGGGUGAACGGCCACAUUGGAACUGAGAAACGGUCCAAACUCCUACGGGAGGCAGCAGUGGGGAAUAUCGCACAAUGGAGGGAACUCUGAUGCAGCGACGCCGCGUGAACGAAGAAGGCUUUCGAGUCGUAAAGUUCUUUUAUAUGGGAAGAUAAUGACGGUACCAUAAGAAAAAGCCCCGGCUAACUACGUG
rnacentral:rRNA from 1 species